GUAGUCAUAUGCUUGUCUCAAAGAUUAAGCCAUGCAAGUCUAAGUUUAAGCACAUAAACGGCGAAACUGCGAAUGGCUCAUUAAAUCAGUUAUCGUAUAUUUGAUAGUACCUACUACAUGGAUAACCGUGGUAAUUCUAGAGCUAAUACAUGCUUAAAAUCCCGACUUCGGAAGGGAUGUAUUUAUUAGAUUAAAAACCAAUGCCCUUCGGGGCUCACUGGUGAUUCAUAAUAACUUCUCGAAUCGCAUGGCCUUGUGCCGGCGAUGGUUCAUUCAAAUUUCUGCCCUAUCAACUUUCGACGGCUGGGUAUUGGCCAGCCGUGGUUACAACGGGUAACGGAGGGUUAGGGCUUGACCCCGGAGAAGGAGCCUGAGAAACGGCUACUACAUCCAAGGAAGGCAGCAGGCGCGCAAAUUACCCAAUCCCGAUACGGGGAGGUAGUGACAAUAAAUACUGAUACAGGGCUCUUUUGGGUCUUGUAAUUGGAAUGAGUACAAUUUAAAUCCCUUAACGAGGAACAAUUGGAGGGCAAGUCUGGUGCCAGCAGCCGCGGUAAUUCCAGCUCCAAUAGCGUAUAUUAAAGUUGUUGCAGUUAAAAAGCUCGUAGUUGAACCUUGGGCCUGGCUGGCCGGUCUGCCUCACCGCAUGCACUGGUCCGGCCGGGCCUUUCCCUCUGGGGACCCGCAUGCUAUUCAUUUAGCGUGCCGGGGAACCAGGACUUUUACUGUGAAAAAAUUAGAGUGUUCAAAGCAGGCCUAUGCUCGAAUACAUUAGCAUGGAAUAAUAGAAUAGACGUUUGGUUCUAUUUUGUUGGUUU
rnacentral:rRNA from 1 species